UACGUAGGGUGCAAGCGUUAUCCGGAAUUAUUGGGCGUAAAGAGCUCGUAGGCGGUUUGUCGCGUCUGCUGUGUAAACCCGAGGCUCAACCUCGGGCCUGCAGUGGGUACGGGCAGACUAGAGUGCGGUAGGGGAGACUGGAAUUCCUGGUGUAGCGGUGAAAUGCGCAGAUAUCAGGAGGGAACACCGGUGGGCGAAGGCGG
rnacentral:rRNA from 1 species